AACAGGUCCAAUCUAAUUCUACAUAAUGGUUUAUUUAUGUGGUCUCGCUUCUGGACCAAAUUAAAUCCCAUCCUUUAUUAUCCUUGUGCUUGUGACAUCAUUCCAGUUCAAUGCACACGAGAAACGUAGAGGAAUAAUA